CAGCAGCCGCGGGAAUACGGAUGGGGCUAGCGUUGUUCGGAAUUACUGGGCGUAAAGCGCACGUAGGCGGCUUGGUAAGUUAGAGGUGAAAGCCCGGAGCUCAACUCCGGAAUUGCCUUUAAGACUGCCGAGCUAGCAGGUGAGAGAGGUAAGUGGAAUUCCGAGUGUAGAGGUGAAAUUCGUAGAUAUUCGGAAGAACACCAGUGGCGAAGGCGGCUUACUGGCUCAUACUGGACGCUGAGGUGCGAAAGCGUGGGGAGCAAACAGGAUUAGAUACCCCGGUAGUCCCUGUCUCUUAUAC
rnacentral:rRNA from 1 species